rnacentral:rRNA from 1 species
UGGGUCCCACAGGGGGCAGCAGUGGGGAAUAUUGCGCAAUGGGCGAAAGCCUGACGCAGCGACGCCGCGUGAGGGAUGAAGGUCUUCGGAUCGUAAACCUCUGUCAGCAGGGAAGAACGGUCACUGUGCUAAUCAGCAGUGAGUUGACGGUACCUGCAGAGGAAGCACCGGCUAACUCCGUGCCAGUAGCCGCGGUAAUACGGAGGGUGCGAGCGUUGAUCGGAAUUACUGGGCGUAAAGCGCU